ACGACCAGCCACACUGGAACUGAGACACGGUCCAGACACCUACGGGUGGCAGCAGUCGAGAAUUUUUCUCAAUGGGGGCAACCCUGAAGGAGCGACGCCGCGUGGAGGAUGAAGGUCUUCGGAUUGUAAACUCCUGUCAUUUGGGAACAAAUACCUGAUUUAACUGAUUAGGAACUGAUAGUACCAGAAGAGGAAGAGACGGCUAACUCUGUGCCAGCAGCCGCGGUAAUACAGAGGUCUCAACCGUUGUUCGGAUUCAUUGGGCGUAAAGGGUGCGUAGGCGGUCGCGCAAGUCGGAUGUGAAAUCUAAGGGCUCAACCCUGAAACUGCAUUCGAUACUGCGUGGCUCGAGUACUGGAGAGGAGACUGGAAUUUACGGUGUAGCAGUGAAAUGCGUAGAUAUCGUAAGGAAGACCAGUGGCGAAGGCGAGUCUCUGGACAGUUACUGACGCUGAGGCACGAAGGCCAGGGGAGCAAACGGGAUUAGAUACCCCGGUAGUCCUGGCAGUAAACGGUGUACGUUUGGUGUAGGCGGAUUCGACCCCGCCUGUGCCGGAGCUAACGCGUUAAACGUACCGCCUGGGAAGUACGGUCGCAAGAUUAAAACUCAAAGAAAUUGACGGGGGCCCGCACAAGCGGUGGAGUAUGUGGCUUAAUUCGAUCCACGCGAAGAACCUUACCAGGGUUUGACAUGUAUCUCUAAGUCGGUGAAAGCUGGCGAGUUGUAGCAAUACAACAAUUUACACAGGUGCUGCAUGGCUGUCGUCAGCUCGUGUCGUGAGAUGUUGGGUUAAGUCCCGCAACGAGCGCAACCCUUACGUCCUGUUGCCACUCCUUUAUUGGAAGCACUCUGGACGGACUGCCCUGUGAAACGGGGAGGAAGGUGAGGAUGGCGUCAAGUCAGCAUGGCCCUUACACCCUGGGCUGCACACGUACUACAAUGCUCAGUACAAUAUGAGCCGAAACCGCGAGGUGGAGGAAAUCGAUAAAACUGAGCCCAAUUCGGAUCGCAGGCUGCAACUCGCCUGCGUGAAGCCGGAAUCGCUAGUAAUGCCGUAUCAGCUACGACGGCGUGAAUACGUUCCCGGGCCUUGUACACACCGCCCGUCACAUCAUGGGAGUCGUUUGCACCCGAAGUACACCACUGGUGUCCUACGGUAUGAGCGGUAACUGGGAUGAAGUCGUAACAAGGUAGCCGUAGGGGAACCUGCGGCUG
rnacentral:rRNA from 1 species